UUCUAUAUUUAUCAAAGAGUUUUCCUUAUUGGAUAAUGUAACAGCGUCGAUAGAUGGACAGUAACACUAAAUGCUGCAAUUAUCCGACACUUAAUUGUUUUGCUUGAGUGUUUAAAUCGAGGGUUGUUUGAGAGAACAAUCAGGAAGACGAUUGGAGAAAUUCUGACACAUGUUUGGAGGAAAGCAAGUAGCCGAAAAAAUAUGUAUAUCACCUAUAGUACAUCAUCGAAAUUCGCUAACCAUUUUUGAAAGUGAAAAGUGAUAAAUUCGAAAGAUGUGGUGGAAUAAUUAUUUCGUGUUUUAUUUAUUUUAUAUUCUAAAUGUCGUCGGCGAUUCCAUUGCUGUUUCCUUUCACUGUGACGGAGGAUGGGACAAAUUCGAAGAUAAAUGCUACAGGCUGUUUUCUGGAUCCAGAAACUGGUAUCAAGCUCGUGAUGGUUGUGCAGCCCAUGGGUCGACUCUACCAAUAGUGUCAAAUAGAAGAAUCCAAAGAUUUAUCAUCAAACAGUACGGGCAUCUGCUUGGUUCACACGGCGUGUAUUUGUCUGGAAAUGAUAUUAAACAGGAGGGCAGUUGAGAAUGGUUGGAUGAGGACGAACCAUUUUCUUUUCACGCCUGGUA